UGGACAUAAGUGAAUAUUUCUAGAUGUACCCGUUCCUUAUAGUGAUUUUUUUUUCUUCCUGAAACCAGGACAAACUGCCCAGAUUGUGAUUUGGCCCACUUAAAAGUUUAACAAGAACACAAUAAGCUUGGAAACAGUUUUCCUUUUUGCCUUCGGCCAUCCAGGUAAGGUUGUACUAGCAGAAAAAAAGUAAGGACCAGAUUUUGCCCUCAGAUUUGCUUGCGCAGGUUUUCAAAAGGUAAAGAGACUAGAUUCUGCCAUUAGCUACAGUGACUUCUGAACUGCAGUCCUCUGACCCCAUGGAACUUUCAUUCUCUGAGCAAAAAGCCAAGAUAUAACUAAGCCAAGCCUUAAGUUAAAGCACAGUGGUAAAUUCAUCUCUGUCCAAAAAGAAUUUGAGGUUCAAAGUCACUUAAGACAAGGCCUGCGCUGGAUAGACUGCUGGCCUCAGAAACCUCAGUGGCUACUAGUUCAGCUGGCAAAGAUUAGCAAUGAUUUCCUCUAUUCAAGCAUCUAAGCCAAAGACCAACCAACAUAAAACAAAAAGCUGAUUCUCAGCUGGUGUUAACUGGAGUGUCUUUGCUGGCACUGUGUGUGUUAACACAUCUGUGGGCCCCAUGUUCUUAAGCUAUCUGAGCAUUUCUUUGUGACGUAACUGAAGAAUGCAUCUUAAAAUUUAGGUUUUGGAAGACAUCUGGAAAAUGAACCAGAUAACCAUAAGCUUAGAAGUUUGCCAUUUUUCCACAUUUAGUGUAUCUGAGACUUUUAGUAGGUUAGCUUAUUUGUAUACAUUAAAGAGAGGCAGGCAUUUUUCAGUUUGAUUACACCACAACAGUGUGCAAAUCCUUUUGUUUAAUUACCUUUGUGGUUAAAGGCCAUUUCAUCUCUUUUUCAGUCUUUCGUCUGCUUUUCCUAUGUCUGCUUUCAACAUAAUUCAACUGGGUGGCUCUCCUGUCUCUUAACUUUGAAUGAAAGAAAUACUGCCAGAAAUUCUUCAGGGCUUCUCAAAAGUUUGGCUUCCUUGGGCACAUCUGUGUGAUAUUACCUAAAUGACAGUAAUUGCAACAAAAACAAGAUCUAUUAAAACAGGGAAAACAUCUUAUAGUACGUUAAAUUAGUUUAAAUUAAAAGGAAAGGUGAACGGUGUAUAUAUCCCUUGAAACCAACAUGCACUGCUUGAUUCCUUUGUAGCACCUGCAUAGAAAUAUCUCUCAGCUCUCUCCACUAGGCCCCUCCAGCAGGGGCUGCAGUCCUAGACACAAACUAUCCAUCUGUACAUAAAGCAAUAAAACAGAAGUUUCUUCCUUACUCCUCUUCAUGUAUCUCAACAAAAAGAAGCUGACUCAUCAACGUUGUAAUGCUAUAGACAGAUUUUAUCUUUUAUGGAAUAUAAUCCCCAAUGGUAUCUGCUUUGGCAUCAGCUAUCUUGUUUAAAUACAUAGGUGUAUCAUGCAUGGUUUAGGCAAACACAACAGGCAGAUUAAAUGGUUCACUGAAAAAAAAACACAACGCUUUUUUUCUUUUUCUAUUAGUGUAACAAAAUGGAUAUAAGUAAAAGCCCCAGCUGAGCAAUCACCACAGCGCUCAAGGGUGGCCAUUUCCGUGUGCCCCACACACCCGCUCUCUAGGACAUGGCCGCCCUGGCAGCUGCCCUUUCGCCGCCAUGUUGUGGUCAGUCAGCGCCCAGGCCGGGACCUAAAAUGGCGGCCAGUUGUUAACUCACGCCAGCGCGGCUGGGAGGCGCUGUUUGCUUUCCGGUGCGUGUCGCCCUAUCCUUCGGUCCCUCUACAGGAGAAAAGGAGAAUUUGCUCCCCCUUACGCCUUUUAUACCCACAAAGCGUCCCCGUGUCACCCAGCGGAGGAAAGCAGUUUCUAGCAAACCUCUUCUGAAGGCCAAAGCAGCAUCCUCUGACAUGGGAGAGAAAGAUCCUGUAAGUAAGGAGAAAGUGAAGCACUGAAUGAGUGGUCAAAGUGUCUCUUAGAAAGGCUCAAUCAGCAGUGCAAACAAAGGCAAAACCACUGGGACUGGAGCAAAAGAGAGAGAGGAAGAUGCGAGUACCUCGUAACAAGCCCCCUGGUGGAAGGGGCAGCAGUGCAUUGCUCGGGAGCCAUCAGAGACGCUAGCAGCUUGCCACAACUGCUGGAAGUGUUAUGUGUGGUCCAACUGGCAGCCUGCAGGCCAGCUCCAGGCUGCUGCACUGAUCCAUCCGGCCCACCAGCUUCUUCCCUGGAAGAGAUGGAGAACAGCUGUUCGGAGCAACGACUGCACCCUCCAGCCGCUGAGCUUGUCCUCCGACACAAAGGCAAAACACUGCUGCUGUUGACAGGAGCUUUUUUCAUGCGCUGUGGAAGGUUGUCAGAUGCUUCUUUGAAGUUAACUAAUGAUCAUGCGAGCAAAGAAUCUAGCAGUGGGAGCCAGGUCUCUCUGGUGUUGUAGCAGCACAGCUUCCACAUGCUGGCGCUCUUCCGUUACCUUGUGUGAUGUUUUUCAGAUGGAGGAGAAGUGGGCUGAAAUCUCCCUGGGUGAAAGUGAGGCUGUGACCCCAACCUGGUGCCACCUCUCUAGUUGUCCUGGGCUGCAAAAGAAGAACAGUCAUCCCUGGUGCCUUGUGAAAUUCCACAUUGCUCCAGAUUUCAGGGACAGCUGUUGCUUCAUGUACCCAGGACCUGUUUCAAAUUCAGCUAAUGGAGAUUAUAUCUGCCUCGGCCUCUUCCGCAAACACUGGAUUCACUGGAGUGUGUUACAGACAAUACGGCUCUCAAACAAUGAAGCAUUUGUGUUCAUUUUCUUCUAUUUUAUCUUUGGAAUUCUACUAUUUAGGUCACUAUCUGUUGCUUCCAGCUACUCUUCCCUGACAAAUUGUAGCUCUUUUUAGGCUUAAAAAGAUAUAAUCAAUGAAUUCAUCUAUGUUAUUCCUCUGGUUAUAAAGGUCUAGGUGUAAUAAGUGGUACACAUAUUCCAAGAUUAUGUUGCUGUUCCUGAACUGCAGCCCCAAGAUUAAUUGUGCAUUAUAGGCCAAAAUUUGAAGAGCUGCUGGAUGCUGACCUCUUCAAAAAUCUGAGAUAAAUAACACAAUAAAGAACACUGUUACCAAAUUUCUCAAAUGCUUUAAACAUGGUCCCUCACCAGUAUGAGCUGGAAGGAUGUGAAUAUGUGUAUGUAUAUUCCACAACACAUAAUUUUAUAUACAGAUAACGAUGAAUGGAUCCUUUACUUGAUUGUAUCUGUCUUUGUAAAAGAAAAAACACCACAAGUUUUAAUUUAGACAGGUAAUCCUCGGUUUUAGCGAGUAACAUCACUCAUAGUGAGAUUGCCCAUGAAAUAAAAAUGAUCCUCAGGUAUGGGGAUAUACAGGAAUUCCAUUUUCAUUUAAACUCAAGCUCACUGAUUGCUCUGCUCAUGUAAAAAAUUGCUGUGCUCUGAAUGAAACGAAGAUGAGUGCUUAAGCAAACAGUUACAAAUUAAUUUAUAAUGAAACAUGACAGUCAUAAUUUAAUUUGGAAUGUAUUUAAGAUUGUUGUUACUAUUUGUAUAGGCCUUUUUUGCCUGGAGGAAGAUGUGACUUCAUAGUGAAAUGUCAGCUAUUGAAAUACCAAACUUUUUACGCGUACAUGUGUAUUAAUUAAUUAAAAUCGUGUAGAUACUUUCCUAAUAAAGAACUGUUGUCUGCUGCAAGCAGUCAGACAAAAGCUUGCAGAUCAAGGCUGGCACGUGCAGGAUCAGCGGGGCACCAAGAAUUACCAGUGAGCACAAGGGGUGCUGAGCAUAACCUGUGGGGUCGUGUGGCUGCCACACAGCUUCUCCCUUGGCGGCGAGGAGAGGGGACCUAAGACAAGAGCAAGCAGGAGGGAUGCAGUUUUUGCACCUCUGCUCUGCUCUGCAGAGCAGCUGCCGAGGCCCAGCACCACAUACAUCCUGCAAUGUAUGUUAGGCAGAUGGCUCUUUCUGUUGAUGGGGCUACAUCACAUUUCAGGCACCGGUGUCGGAGUUGCCCUCUCUGCAUCGCUGACUGCGGUCAGAGGGCCUGAAAGGGCUGCACGCCUAACUGCUGUCCCUCGGCGCAGGAGGCACGAAGCCGCCUCUAGCUACCCCUGUGCUGUGCUGCUGGUGUUACAGCCAGAUGUUCAGGAACAGGCUGGGGCUCAGUUCAUGUCUGCACGCCCUCAACGUCAGUACACUGCCCUGCCUGCUGCCUGGGGCUGCCUCCAGCAUCCUGGAAGAGGAGGAGGGCAAAGUUGGCACUCACAAGAAACCAGCUCAGUGGUGGGUACUCUUAUUUUGCAUGCAUAGCUAAAGAGUUUAUUUUUUAUUACGUUUCCUCUUUGUUUCUUCCCAAGCAGUAUAAAUGUAUUUCUUUUUCAGAGAUAAAAAUACCUAGGCUGUGGAAUUUCACCUUUGAUGCUGUAGAGG